rnacentral:rRNA from 1 species
AUGAAUUGGACUGAUGAGGCAACAAAGUUGAUGCAUGCUUGGGACAUUAGGUCUGAUGUUAUACCAAGUCCAGUAACAUAUCUAAUUGGCCGUCUUUUGUUGCCUCUCAGUACCAAACCACAGACUCAUGUCGAUCCCUUCUACAAUUCAGUUAGUCACUGUAAAGUGUCUUCUGUUUCUACAGGUACACAAGUCGGUGUAGUCACACAUUAUCUUCAAUUUCUGUUGUCCAUAUUGCGGCUCUUGGCCAUUGUUAGCAUCAUCAACACUGUGCACCAACGACAAGAGCCCAGUGGUGAACGAGGCCAAGAGAAUCCUGAGAACCUGUAG